rnacentral:lncRNA from 1 species
GCUUAAUAGCUAUGCCAAGUUAUGCCAAGUUAUGCCAAGUAAUUUCUCAGCUUGUUAACCUGAUAACAGUUUGAGAAUGCAUCAGGCUAAAACAACAGUUGUUCUUAAGUAGAUUACAGUUCCUUUUUUGAAAAAUAGUAUAAGUUUACACUGCUCUUCUUUGUGGUAUUCACUUGUCUGCAGAUUUUAUUUCACCCUGUAAUCACGCUAAAGGAGCUUGAACUUGGAUUAUCUUCUAGGCGGCAGCUGGAUAACGCUGAAAAAUAUAACUUUGACUAAAGCUGUUGUGGGCUUGUAGCGUUCUGCCUAAAGGUAACAGAGAGGAUAAAGAACUUUUGGUGGAAGAUAUUUAUUCUUAAAGAACAAAUCAUUUUGAGGAUAACUGACAAAAACCAAAUGCAUAAAAAAAAAAGGAACUUAGCCUGCAGCAUCGAGUCUUUGCACACUUUAAAAGGGGAAUCAUUUUGAUUGGAACUGGAAGAACACUGAUUGUAAUUGUGGAUUCUGGAGGAUGGGAAUUACCUGAUGUUUAUGAUGCAGGUGAAGGAGCAUGCUGUUGAACUUGCAAAGGCCAUGGAGAUGAGGAUGGGGUAACUGCAGCUGUGAAAGCAUUCUUUAAGCAUCUCCCUCUGAUAAAGCUGGAGCCUGAGCCGCUGCCAGAAAGUCC